rnacentral:rRNA from 1 species
UAGGGAAUAUUGCAAAAUGGGCGAAAGCCCGAUGCAGCAACGCCGCGUGGGCGAUGAAGGCCUUCGGGUCGUAAAGCCCUUUUUGAGGGGAUGAGGAAGGACAGUACCCUCAGAAUAAGCCUCGGCUAACUACGUGCCAGCAGCCGCGGUAAAACGUAGGAGGCGAGCGUUAUCCGGAUUUACUGGGCGUAAAGCGCGUGCAGGCGGAUUGGAGAGUUGGAUGUGAAAGCUCCCGGCUUAACUGGGAGAGGUCGUUCAAUACUUCCAGUCUUGAGUGCAGUAGAGGGAAGUGGAAUUCCGGGUGUAGUGGUGAAAUGCGUAGAUAUCCGGAGGAACACCAGUGGCGAAAGCGGCUUCCUGGACUGUAACUGACGCUCAGACGCGAAAGCUAGGGUAGCAAAC